UGCAGUUCGAGCGGAUGACGGGAGCUUGCUCCUUUGAUUCAGCGGCGGACGGGUGAGUAAUGCCUAGGAAUCUGCCUGGUAGUGGGGGACAACGUUUCGAAAGGAACGCUAAUACCGCAUACGUCCUACGGGAGAAAGCAGGGGACCUUCGGGCCUUGCGCUAUCAGAUGAGCCUAGGUCGGAUUAGCUAGUUGGUGGGGUAAUGGCUCACCAAGGCGACGAUCCGUAACUGGUCUGAGAGGAUGAUCAGUCACACUGGAACUGAGACACGGUCCAGACUCCUACGGGAGGCAGCAGUGGGGAAUAUUGGACAAUGGGCGAAAGCCUGAUCCAGCCAUGCCGCGUGUGUGAAGAAGGUCUUCGGAUUGUAAAGCACUUUAAGUUGGGAGGAAGGGCAGUAAGUUAAUACCUUGCUGUUUUGACGUUACCGACAGAAUAAGCACCGGCUAACUCUGUGCCAGCAGCCGCGGUAAUACAGAGGGUGCAAGCGUUAAUCGGAAUUACUGGGCGUAAAGCGCGCGUAGGUGGUUUGUUAAGUUGGAUGUGAAAGCCCCGGGCUCAACCUGGGAACUGCAUCCAAAACUGGCAAGCUAGAGUACGGUAGAGGGUGGUGGAAUUUCCUGUGUAGCGGUGAAAUGCGUAGAUAUAGGAAGGAACACCAG
rnacentral:rRNA from 1 species